UACGUAGGGACCGAGCGUUGUCCGGAAUCAUUGGGCGUAAAGAGCGUGUGGGCGGCUAUUUAAGUCCUGCGUGAAAUCCUGCGGCUCAACCGCAGACGGUCGUGGGAAACUGGAUGGCUAGAGUGCGGGAGAGGAGAGUGGAAUUCCCGGUGUAGCGGUGAAAUGCGCAGAUAUCGGGAAGAACACCCGUGGCGAAGGCGGCUCUCUGGAACGCAACUGACGCUGAGACGCGAAAGCGGUGGGGAGCAAACAGGG
rnacentral:rRNA from 1 species